CAGUAGCCGCGGGAAAACGAAGGGUGCAAGCGUUACUCGGAAUUACUGGGCGUAAAGCGUGCGUAGGUGGUGGUUUAAGUCCGUUGUGAAAGCCCUGGGCUCAACCUGGGAAUUGCAGUGGAUACUGGGUCACUAGAGUGUGGUAGAGGAUAGUGGAAUUUCCGGUGUAGCAGUGAAAUGCGUAGAGAUCGGAAGGAACAUCUGUGGCGAAGGCGACUAUCUGGGCCAACACUGACACUGAGGCACGAAAGCGUGGGGAGCAAACAGGAUUAGAUACCCCCGUAUCCCUGUCUCUUAUACA
rnacentral:rRNA from 1 species